rnacentral:lncRNA from 1 species
ACUUCCCGGUUGGGGCGCCGAGCUCCGGAGUCGGCCGCCAGCCUUUGGGCCCCACGCUCCGGGUCUGGUGCGCGGUCUGGCCGCGCUCGGGCCCUCGCCAAAUGAGAGCGCAGCGCCUCUCCGCCUUCGGAUCCAGAGAAAGAGCUUGUUGCUGCCUCUAAAAGGUUGGAGCCUUAGUAAGCGGUUCCUGCCUUUCCUGCACAGACCAGACCGCCGGGUGCUGGUCUGCGCUCUGCCGCGCGCCGACUGGGACAGCCCACCCACGAGAUCCUUGUUCCUGAAAUCCCUUUCCUUCCCUCAUCUGCCAAGAAAACUUUCAACUUUUGGGCUCUCCGCGCCUCCCAAGCUUCCUCGAAUCCCUGGGCCCUUGACUGUUCUGCCCUGAUGGCACUUGGUGAGAGAUCCAUUGAGAGCCCUUUCCGUGCCUUCCUGAAUAUUGAUAUGUUUUCCAGCCUCUCCUCCUGCGCUGGCCCAAGGACUCAUUUUCCGUCCCUGCUUCCUCACUAAAAAGAGGGUGCCCAAUAAUUGCUUGUUCCAUACAGAAGGCAGGGAGGCCGUCUCUAGGUUUUCUCCCACUCAGAUCUGCUGUCCUCACAGCCACCUCCCCAAGAGGAAUGAAGGUAUUUCUUUUUUUUUUUUCUUUUUUUUCUCUGAGACGGAGCUUCACUCUGUCGCCCAGGCUGGAGUGCAGUGACGCGAUCUCGGCUCACUGCAACCUCUGCCUCCCGAGUAGCUGGGAUUACAGGCGCCUGCCACCACGCCCGGCUAAUUUUUUGUAUUUUUAGUAGAGACGGGGUUUCACCAUCUUGGCCAGGCUGGUCUCGAACUCCUGACCUCAGGUGAUCCGCCCGCCUCGGCCUCCCAAAGUGCUGGGAUUACAGGCGUGAGCCACCGCGCCCUGCCGGAAUGAAGAUAUUUCUGUUAGUGCGAUUUUUGCGCCAAUCCCUUUGCUCUUUCAAAUAAGCAUUACCGUACCCAUUUUAGCGGUGAGGCAACUGAAGCCCAGAGAGGUUAAAUAACUUGCCCAAAGCCUCACAGCAAAGUUGAGGAAGUAAAACUGGGCCUGGAAUCCACUCGUCUGAUCCCCUGGCACAUGACGCAAGGCUUGACCUUAGAGGGACUCGUUUCCAGACAGAGCUCUGGCAAAGGAGUGUCUUGGGCAGCUUAGGAGUAGAAGAGGAAAGGUGAAUGGAAACCAGGCCUUGGGUUAUGAGCUGCGCAGGAUUUUCCAGCAUCUCAGAUGCAGGCGUUUAGAGAAAGAGAUAUAAUGGAGCAGGCCCUACUCAGAGCCACGAAAAGGAAUGAGGACAGUUGGCUCUAACUCAAAACAAAAAUAGGGUAAACCCAAUCAGUCAAGCGCAGCAACCUGCUCCGUGGCGAUCUGUGACUCAUCAGAAGCUGAGGCUCUCACCAGGACUUUCUAAUGAGCUUCGCUGUUGGCUACGACCGCGGUCACUUCACUUCAGCCCUACUCCUGGCCUGGGGAAAUGGGCAGGCCCCCUAGUAGCUCGGGGUGGGGAGACGGGUGGAGAGGAAGGAGGGGCGAAAAGGGAAGGCGCGAAAUCUACAAAUGUUUAAGCCAGCUGGAACUCCGAUGCCUCUUUGCCUUUUAGGGAAAUUGACUCGACUCGGAACUCGAGGACCUUUCACAAGAGACCACUGGGUUAGGGGGCAGAGCUGGUAAUAGAAUCCAGCGCUCCGAACCCUGAAUCAUGUCCUCUUUUUGCUGCUGAGGCUCAGGCCACAGCACCCCAAAUUAUGACUGUAGAAUACCAAAAUAUGCUAUCCCAAAAUACACUUGUUUGGCACAUUUCAAGCUGGUUAUUCUGAGAAACUGCAGACACGGGAGUAGCUCUGAAAAGCUGUCCUUUUGUAAAGCAAAUUUACAUCUAUAAAGGAAGUCCACAUAGUAAAAGUAUCUGUGUCAGGAAGGCAGCUGCUCAGAGAACUUUUAUUACAUGAGAGACUUUACAUAACAAGGCAACUUUUUUUUUUUUUUUUUUUUUUUUUUUUGAGGCAGAGUCUCGCUCAGUCGCCCAGGCUGGAGUGCAUUGGCAUGAUCCCGGCUCACUGCAACCUCCGCCCCCCGGGUUCAAGCGAUUCUCCGGCCUCAGCCUCUGAAGUAGCCGGGAUUACAGGCGCGCGCCACCGCGCCCGGGUAAUUUUUGUAUUUUUAGUAGAGACGGGGUUUCACCAUGUUGGUCAGGCUGGUCUCGAACUCCUGACCUCGUGAUCCGCCCACCUCGGCCUCCCAAAGUGCUGGGAUUACAGGUGUGAGCCACCGCGCGCAGCCACAAGGCAACAUUAUUUACCAUACAUUUCCUCCACUAACCCUCCUAUAUCCUACCUGUGGUGCCUCCCCACUGUCCCCACAGAAGCCCCAAGCCCUUAUUUAUUUCUAGCUCAGAAUGCUAUAAGCUUCAAUCAUCUGGCCCUUCAUGUUUUGUGAGAUUCCUGUGCUGCUGCGUAUGCAGGUAAUUAAAACGGUUUUUCUUCUGUUAAUCUGUCUUAUGUCGGCCAGGCGUGGUGGCUCAUGCCUGUAAUCCCAGCACUUUGGGAGGCCGAGGUGGGCGGAUCACGAGGUCAGGAGUUUGAGACCAGCCUGACCAACAUGGUGCAACCCCAUCUCUACUAAAAAUACAAAAGAAGUAGCCGGGCGAGGUGGUGCGCACCUGUAAUCCCAGUUACUCAGAAGCUGAGGCAGGAGAAUCGCUUGAACCCAGGAGGCGGAAGUUGCAGUUAGCCGAGAUUGUGCCACAGCACUCCAGCCUGGGCGACAGAGCAAGAUACCGUCUCAAAAAAAAAAAAAAAAAUCUCUGUUAUGUCAAUUUAAUUUGCAAUCCAAGUAAAGAACCUAGAAGGGUAGAGGGAAGCCAUUUUUCCCUCCCCUACAUUGCUAGUUCCAUGCCAAUGUGAGAGGACUCUGAGAAUGUGGAUGUCUGCCACCUGGAGAAAGAGUCUUAAUAACCUGGGCACUUGGCCAGGCACGGUGGCUCACACCUGUCAUCCCAGCAUUUUCAGAGGCAAAGGUGGGUGGAUCACCUGUGGUUAGGAGUUCAAGACCAGCCUGGCCAACAUGGCGAAACCCUGUCUCUACUAAAAAUACAAAAAUUAGCCAGGCAGGGUGGUGGGCACCUGUAAUUUCAGCUACUCAGGAGGCUGAGGCAGGAGAAUCACUUGAACCCAGGAGGCGGAGGUUGCAGUUAGCCUAGAUGGUGCCAUUGCACCCCAGCCUGGGCAACAAGAGCAAAAUUCUAUCUCAAUAGAUAAAUAAAUAAAUAACCUGGGGACUUGUAGCCUCUAUUGAAAGGUACCAGAAAAGGAUAAAGCCUGAGUUUUCAAGCCAGGAAGUUGCAAAUUCUAACUCUACCAAGAAGUAGCUGGGUGACCUCCAAGCCUCAGUUUCCUCAUCUUCAAAACCAGGUUAAUAGUGUCAGAGGCAUUUGAACCAGAGAGACUCCAUCUUGAAUAGGGACUGGGUAAAAUAAGGCUGUGACCUGCUGGGCUGUAUUCCCAGGAAGUUAAGGCAUUCUUCGAGGAUGAGAUGGUGGGGGUCAGCACAAGAUACAGGUCACAAAGACCUUGCUGGUAAAAUAGGAUGUAGUAAAGGAGCCGGCCAAAACCCAUCAAAAUCAAGAUGGCGACCAAAGUGAGCUCUGGUCGUGCCCACUGCUCAUUAUACACUAAUUAUAAUUCAUUAGCAUGCUAAAAGACACUCCCACCAGCACCAGGACAGUUUACAAACAUCAGGAAGUUACCCUAUAUGGUCUAAAGGAGGAGGAACCCUCAGUUCUGGGAAUUGCCCAUCCCUUUCGCGGAAAACUCAUGAAUAAUCCACCCCUUGUUUAGCAUAUAAUCAAGAAAUAACUAUAAUUAGUUGAGCAGCCCAUGCUGCAGCUCUGCCUAUGGAGUAGCCAUUCUUUACCUCCUUUACUUCUCUAAUAAAUUUGAUUUCACUUUAUGGACUUGCCCCAAAUUCUUUCUUGCGUGAGGUUCAAGAACCCUCUCUUGUGGACUGGAUGAGGACCCCACUCUGGUAACAAUAUACUUUUUGUCCAGUCACAUUUCUACAUGGCUGUCCAUACUCUGUUGAAUGUAAGCAUAAGAAUGGACAAUUUUGCUGUAUCUUUGGAUCUUCAUUCUGAAGGCUCCCAUGGCAUGUAAAACUAUGAUCAAAUAAAUUUGUAUGCCUUUUUUCCUUUUAAUCUGCCUUGUCGGUUGAUUUUCAGUGAAACUUCAGAGGGUAAAGGGGAAGUUUGCCCUUCACCCCUACAUGGUCAAGCUCAAGAUACCAAAAGACAUCAGCUGAAAAUUCAAUCAACUUGCCUGAAUCAUCCACCCCAAGCUUAGGAAGCAUGCUUGAACCCACCUGGCCAAGGCUGGUUUUGCCGGCCAAAGUCCAAGGCCAAGGCUCCAACCAAAGCCCAGACUUCAGUUGCAGCUCCAGUUCCAGUUCCAGUUCCAGCUCCAGUUCCAGUUCCAGUUCCAGCUCCAGAUCAAAUUUCCAAGGGUGCCCAUGCACACCCACAAAGGAUCUGGAGGAGAGGCCUCUGUCUACCAAUGGGAGGACAGAAGGACUGGUGUGAGCCCUGGGCUGCCAUCUGUUUCUGCAUGGAGCUGGUACCAUUCUUUUCUAUUUAUACAAACAAACAUGAGGCAGGAUCUGUCCAUUAAAAAAAAGAGGCCGGGCACAGUGGCUCAUGCCUAUAAUCCCAGCAUUUUAGGAGGCCGAGGUGGGUAAAUCACCUGAGGUUGGGAGUUCGAGACCAGCCUGGCCAAUAUGGUGAAACCUCUUCUCUACUAAAAAUACAAAAAUUAGCCGAGCGUCGCGGCACAUCUUUAAUCCCAGCUCCUCAGGAGGCUGAGGCACAAGAAUCACUUGAACCCAGGAGGUGGAGGUUGCAGUAAGCCGAGAAAACACCACUACACUCCAGCCUAGGCGACAGAAUGAGGCUCCAUCUUGAAAAGAAAAAGAAAAUUAAAAAGAAACAGUCUAUACAGGCUCAUUCCCUUUCCCCACUCAGAGUUUUUUCAAAGGAAUGUGGC